AAUAAAAUUAUUAAUAUGAAUCAAAAAUAUAUUUUAUUACAGUAAGAAUUUAAAAGUAUUAUUUACAUUUACCAGUAACUGUUCAUACGUCUUUUUGGUAGUUUGUCGACACGUCAUCGGCACAGCAAUAUCUCUUUGUUGCGGUCUGUUUUCG